rnacentral:rRNA from 1 species
AUUGAACGCUGGCGGCAGGCCUAACACAUGCAAGUCGAGCGGAUGAAGGGAGCUUGCUCCUGGAUUCAGCGGCGGACGGGUGAGUAAUGCCUAGGAAUCUGCCUGGUAGUGGGGGAUAACGUCCGGAAACGGGCGCUAAUACCGCAUACGUCCUGAGGGAGAAAGUGGGGGAUCUUCGGACCUCACGCUAUCAGAUGAGCCUAGGUCGGAUUAGCUAGUUGGUGGGGUAAAGGCCUACCAAGGCGACGAUCCGUAACUGGUCUGAGAGGAUGAUCAGUCACACUGGAACUGAGACACGGUCCAGACUCCUACGGGAGGCAGCAGUGGGGAAUAUUGGACAAUGGGCGAAAGCCUGAUCCAGCCAUGCCGCGUGUGUGAAGAAGGUCUUCGGAUUGUAAAGCACUUUAAGUUGGGAGGAAGGGCAGUAAGUUAAUACCUUGCUGUUCUGACGUUACCAACAGAAUAAGCACCGGCUAGCUUCGUG